rnacentral:rRNA from 1 species
CGAUACGAGUUUGAUCAUGGCUCAGAUUGAACGCUGGCGGAAUGCUUUACACAUGCAAGUCGAACGGCAGCACGGGGGCAACCCUGGUGGCGAGUGGCGAACGGGUGAGUAAUACAUCGGAACGUGCCCAGUCGUGGGGGAUAACGUAGCGAAAGCUACGCUAAUACCGCAUACGAUCUACGGAUGAAAGCGGGGGAUCGCAAGACCUCGCGCGAUUGGAGCGGCCGAUGGCAGAUUAGGUAGUUGGUGGGGUAAAGGCUCACCAAGCCUUCGAUCUGUAGCUGGUCUGAGAGGACGACCAGCCACACUGGGACUGAGACACGGCCCAGACUCCUACGGGAGGCAGCAGUGGGGAAUUUUGGACAAUGGGCGAAAGCCUGAUCCAGCCAUUCCGCGUGCAGGAUGAAGGCCCUCGGGUUGUAAACUGCUUUUGUACGGAACGAAACGGCCUUUUCUAAUACAGAGGGCUAAUGACGGUACCGUAAGAAUAAGCACCGGCUAACUACGUG